AACGAACGCUGGCGGCAUGCCUAACACAUGCAAGUCGAACGAAGGCUUCGGCCUUAGUGGCGCACGGGUGCGUAACGCGUGGGAAUCUGCCCUUGGGUUCGGAAUAACUCAGAGAAAUUUGAACUAAUACCGGAUGAUGACGUAAGUCCAAAGAUUUAUCGCCCAAGGAUGAGCCCGCGUAAGAUUAGCUAGUUGGUGGGGUAAAGGCCUACCAAGGCGACGAUCUUUAGCUGGUCUGAGAGGAUGAUCAGCCACACUGGGACUGAGACACGGCCCAGACUCCUACGGGAGGCAGCAGUGGGGAAUAUUGGACAAUGGGCGAAAGCCUGAUCCAGCAAUGCCGCGUGAGUGAUGAAGGCCUUAGGGUUGUAAAGCUCUUUUACCAGGGAUGAUAAUGACAGUACCUGGAGAAUAAGCUCCGGCUAACUCCGUG
rnacentral:rRNA from 1 species